GACGAACGCUGGCGGCGUGCUUAACACAUGCAAGUCGAACGGAAAGGCCCUGCUUUUGUGGGGUGCUCGAGUGGCGAACGGGUGAGUAACACGUGAGUAACCUGCCCUUGACUUUGGGAUAACUUCAGGACACUGGGGCUCAUACCGGAUAGGAGCUCCUGCUUCUUGGUGGGGGUUGGAAAGUUUCGGCGGUUGGGGAUGGACUCGCGGCUUAUCAGCUUGUUGGUGGGGUAGUGGCUUACCAAGGCUUUGACGGGUAGCCGGCCUGCGAGGGUGAGCGGCCACGUUGGGACUGAGAUACGGCCCAGACUCCUACGGGAGGCAGCGGUGGGGAAUAUUGCACAAUGGGCGGAAGCCUGAUGCAGCAACGCCGCGUGCGGGAUGACGGCCUUCGGGUUGUAAACCGCUUUCGCCUUUGACGAAGCGUGAGUGACGGUAAUGGGUAAAGAAGCACCGGCUAACUACGUG
rnacentral:rRNA from 1 species